CGUCAUUCUGAUCCAGAAAAUUGAUCUAGACACCAGUCAGUUAGCCCAGGCCAAGCUUCACAAUAAUGUGUUUGUUUGUCUCCACACACCUGGGUCACCUGCCUCUCAGACUCCCUCACCUGACCCUGAUGUGUCAUCUAAGGCAGCUUUCAGUGAUGGAUUACCAGAAACCUCUGACCAUAGGGGGGUCUCAACCUCGGGUGGCCUGAAGGUGAAGCCCCUGGACAUGAGGCUUCCCAUCAUGGUAGGAGGAAUGGGUUGGACUAUGUGAAACAGCUCCUGGGUGUUAUUUGUGGUGAAAGAAAGCAACUGUGUUUCUGCCUUGUUCAACCGAUCCCCGGCUUCUCCCCGUUGCUACCCUGCUGCAGCUCCUGUCAAUGUCAGGCUGUCAGGAGGAGGUAGGAAUCGGCCGACGGGCUCCUCUCGGCUCGCCCGGCCCAGCCAUGCGUCUGCCAUCAUUCUGGCUGUUGCGGCAGCUGAUUGGUGCUCCUGUGUCGGGCCCUGCUGUAGAUCUGUGGUCGAAUCUUUUCAAGGAGUCUGGGUCCUCCACGCAUUUACUGUUUCAGCGGUGCAUAGAAAGGAAAGCUGCAGAUGGAUGAAUGAUUGGACCCUACACUCUUCCAUUA
ensembl:lncRNA